AUUGAACGCUGGCGGCAGGCCUAACACAUGCAAGUCGAACGGUAACAGGAAGCAGCUUGCUGCUUCGCUGACGAGUGGCGGACGGGUGAGUAAUGUCUGGGAAACUGCCUGAUGGAGGGGGAUAACUACUGGAAACGGUAGCUAAUACCGCAUAACGUCGCAAGACCAAAGAGGGGGACCUUAGGGCCUCUUGCCAUCGGAUGUGCCCAGAUGGGAUUAGCUAGUAGGUGGGGUAACGGCUCACCUAGGCGACGAUCCCUAGCUGGUCUGAGAGGAUGACCAGCCACACUGGAACUGAGACACGGUCCAGACUCCUACGGGAGGCAGCAGUAGGGAAUAUUGCGCAAUGGGCGCAAGCCUGAUGCAGCCAUGCCGCGUGUAUGAAGAAGGCCUUCGGAUUGUAAAGUACUUUCAGCGGGGAGGAAGGGAGUAAAGUUAAUACCUUUGCUCAUUGACGUUACCCGCAGAAGAAGCACCGGCUAACUCCGUG
rnacentral:rRNA from 1 species